AGAGUUUGAUCCUGGCUCAGGAUGAAUGCUGGCGGCGUGCCUAAUACAUGCAAGUCGAGCGAAUGGAUUAAGAGCUUGCUCUUAUGAAGUUAGCGGCGGACGGGUGAGUAACACGUGGGUAACCUGCCCAUAAGACUGGGAUAACUCCGGGAAACCGGGGCUAAUACCGGAUAACAUUUUGAACUGCAUGGUUCGAAAUUGAAAGGCGGCUUCGGCUGUCACUUAUGGAUGGACCCGCGUCGCAUUAGCUAGUUGGUGAGGUAAUGGCUCACCAAGGCAACGAUGCGUAGCCGACCUGAGAGGGUGAUCGGCCACACUGGGACUGAGACACGGCCCAGACUCCUACGGGAGGCAGCAGUAGGGAAUCUUCCGCAAUGGACGAAAGUCUGACGGAGCAACGCCGCGUGAGUGAUGAAGGCUUUCGGGUCGUAAAACUCUGUUGUUAGGGAAGAACAAGUGCUAGUUGAAUAAGCUGGCACCUUGACGGUACCUAACCAGAAAGCCACGGCUAACUACGUGCCAGCAGCCGCGGUAAUACGUAGGUGGCAAGCGUUAUCCGGAAUUAUUGGGCGUAAAGCGCGCGCAGGUGGUUUCUUAAGUCUGAUGUGAAAGCCCACGGCUCAACCGUGGAGGGUCAUUGGAAACUGGGAGACUUGAGUGCAGAAGAGGAAAGUGGAAUUCCAUGUGUAGCGGUGAAAUGCGUAGAGAUAUGGAGGAACACCAGUGGCGAAGGCGACUUUCUGGUCUGUAACUGACACUGAGGCGCGAAAGCGUGGGGAGCAAACAGGAUUAGAUACCCU
rnacentral:rRNA from 1 species